CAACAACGAAAAGCUGAGGGAAGACAAGCUCAAGCCUUACACAUUUACUCAAAACUCCAGGAGACUCAAAUUCCUGCAUUCCAUGCACCUGAGACUAGGACUAUCUCCAACUUCAAAGAUUUCGACUUUUUGGCAAAAUACUGCGUCUUCAGCCAGGAGAAGUUGGCUAAGUACAAAAGGGCUUUUGAAGCACAAUUUUAUGAGAGUGUUGAUUGGCCGCAUGGAUUUUAAAGCCUUGGAACUGAAAAUGUACAAUGCUA
rnacentral:lncRNA from 1 species